rnacentral:rRNA from 1 species
AGCAGCCGCGGUAAUUCCAGCUCCAAUAGCGUAUAUUAAAGUUGUUGCAGUUAAAAAGCUCGUAGUUGAAUUUCGGGAUCAAUACGUCGGUCGUGCUUCGGUACGUACUGGUGUCAUUGAUUUCUCCCUUCUGACGAACCAUGAUGUCAUUAACUUGGUGUCUUGGGAAAUCAGGACUGUUACUUUGAAAAAAUUAGAGUGUUUAAAGCAGGCUCACGCUUGAAUACAUUAGCAUGGGAUAAUGAAAUAGGACGUUCGAUCCUAUUUUGUUGGUUUUAGGAUCAACGUAAUGAUUAAUAGGGAUAGUUGGGGGCAUUAGUAUUCAAUUGUCAGAGGUGAAAUUCUUGGAUUUAUUGAAGACUAACUACUGCGAAAGCAUUUGCCAAGGAUGUUUCAUUAAUCAAGAACGAAAGUUAGGGGAUCGAAGAUGAUCAGAUACCGUCGUAGUCUUAACCAUAAACUAUGCGACUAGGGAUCAGAUGAUGUUAAUUUUUAAUGUACUCAUUCGGCG